UUAAAGUGACAGAUAAAAUGUGAGGAAUUUAAGCUUCCUUUAUGAUUAAAUUCCUUUAAUA
rnacentral:tRNA from 1 species